AUUGAACGCUGGCGGCAUGCCUUACACAUGCAAGUCGAACGGCAGCGCGGACUUCGGUCUGGCGGCGAGUGGCGAACGGGUGAGUAAUACAUCGGAACGUGCCCUGUUGUGGGGGAUAACUAGUCGAAAGAUUAGCUAAUACCGCAUACGACCUGAGGGUGAAAGCGGGGGACCGUAAGGCCUCGCGCAAUAGGAGCGGCCGAUGUCUGAUUAGCUAGUUGGUGGGGUAAAGGCCUACCAAGGCGACGAUCAGUAGCUGGUCUGAGAGGACGAUCAGCCACACUGGGACUGAGACACGGCCCAGACUCCUACGGGAGGCAGCAGUGGGGAAUUUUGGACAAUGGGGGCAACCCUGAUCCAGCAAUGCCGCGUGUGUGAAGAAGGCCUUCGGGUUGUAAAGCACUUUUGUCCGGAAAGAAAUUGCGCUGGUUAAUACCCGGCGUAGAUGACGGUACCGGAAGAAUAAGCACCGGCUAACUACGUGCCAGCAGCCGCGGUAAUACGUAGGGUGCGAGCGUUAAUCGGAAUUACUGGGCGUAAAGCGUGCGCAGGCGGUUUUGUAAGACAGGCGUGAAAUCCCCGGGCUCAACCUGGGAAUUGCGCUUGUGACUGCAAGGCUAGAGUGCGUCAAAGGGGGGUAGAAUUCCACGUGUAGCAGUGAAAUGCGUAGAGAUGUGGAGGAAUACCGAUGGCGAAGGCAGCCCCCUGGGAC
rnacentral:rRNA from 1 species